rnacentral:rRNA from 1 species
GACGAACGCUGGCGGCGUGCUUAACACAUGCAAGUCGAACGGAAAGGCCCUGCUUUUGUGGGGUGCUCGAGUGGCGAACGGGUGAGUAACACGUGAGUAACCUGCCCUUGACUUUGGGAUAACUUCAGGAAACUGGGGCUAAUACCGGAUAGGAGCUCCUGCUGCAUGGUGGGGGUUGGAAAGUUUCGGCGGUUGGGGAUGGACUCGCGGCUUAUCAGCUUGUUGGUGGGGUAGUGGCUUACCAAGGCUUUGACGGGUAGCCGGCCUGAGAGGGUGACCGGCCACAUGGGGAUGGAGAUACGGCCCAGACUCCUACGGGAGGCAGCAGUGGGGAAUAUGGCACAAGGGGCGGAAGCCGGAUGCAGCAACGCCGCGUGCGGGAGGACGGCCUUCGGGUUGUAAACCGCUUUCGCCUGUGACGAAGCGUGAGUGACGGUAAUGGGUAAAGAAGCACCGGCUAACUACGU